rnacentral:piRNA from 1 species
UGAUGCUGGAAGUGAGACUUCAUGAGUGA